GUAGCAACGCGCCCACAGGAGCUGAUGCGCCCAGACCGUUAGCUCUUGGCUAAUGACUUCGGCAGGAGACAAAACACUCCACAACUCGGCUAAUUGGCACACUUGAUGGCACACUUCUCACUGGUGAGUACUUGUUUUUGUUAUUGUAACAUGGCUGUAACGUAUUUUUUGGCUUUUCUACGUUCAGAAUGUUCUCAAACUUAGUUGCAUGUUGGGGGGAAAAAAUCAGUCCAAAUCCAUCAAUGGCACUGAAUGAGUUAAGAGUCCACGAUCCCAUAUAAAAUGGGUCCUUUUCUUUCUUUUUAAACUGGAUUUAAUACUGCGAGGAAGUUUUGGUUAGGUUGACCCAUAUAUUUUAAACUAAGGGAGCUUCACUAGAAGCUAGCAGUAUUGUUUUUGACAUCCUAACUCACCAGAUUUGUUCAAAGAGGGAAAAAGGUGUUUAUGUGGUUUAAUUGAGCAUUGCGAACUUUUAUUCCCUUCAUGUGUGGCCUCAGCAAAGUGUUUCUGUCCCUCCAGCACGGCCUUGACACGUGGUAAAGACACUGGUCCGACUAAGAGGGAGAGAGCAUUACCACGUUGGUCAGAGAUGAUCGCAUGGCAAAAUGAUAAAUAGCAGCCGGUGAACUGGCUUACCAGCACGGGAGACUUAUCUGUUCAAAGUGAAAAGGCUAUCCACUCCUUCAG